rnacentral:rRNA from 1 species
GACGAACGCUGGCGGCGUGCCUAACACAUGCAAGUGGAGCGACGAACCAGGCUUCGGCCUGGGGCAAAGCCGCGAACGGGUGAGUAACACGUGGGUAACCUGCCCUGAUGAUUGGGACAACCCGAGGAAACUCGGGCUAAUACCAAAUGUGCCCUUCGGCCAUAAGGCCGCCGGGGAAAGGAAGCUUCGGCCUCCGCAUCUGGAUGGGCCCGCGGCCUAUCAGCUUGUUGGUGGGGUGAUGGCCACCAAGGCGACGACGGGUAGCCGGCCUGAGAGGGCGACCGGCCACACUGGGACUGAGACACGGCCCAGACUCCUACGGGAGGCAGCAGUGGGGAAUCUUGCGCAAUGGGCGAAAGCCUGACGCAGCGACGCCGCGUGAGGGAUGACGGCCU